UGAAGGCACCUCGGCCCUUUCCGCCUGCUGCUCCAUGGACUCACUUCUGCUUUUCGGUCAGGUUCCUGCAACUGAUUUUUCAAUCAAAUCUAGACCAAAGAUUCUAGAAAGAGGAGGCUACCUUUGGAUUUUUCACUUUUUGCUUUCUUUCAGAAUCCUGGGGCCUUUUUGUGGCUCGAACCCAUCUCCUGACAGGAGUUUCUAUAACUGAAAUGUGGUGGAUUUUCCCUCUUUUUCUUUCCGGCUCCUUAACACUCAGCUCCCCUGGUGCCUCUAAGACAGAGCUGGGUGAUGUUGAGAGGGGCUUCCUGGCUGAGCGUGGGAGCCUCAGGCCAGGUGCCCACAGCGCCAUGUGGAGCCGAUUGAGGGGCUGCUGGAGCAAGUAUGGGGCUCUGAAAGCAAGACCCACAGGAGGAGAGGGAGUGAGGUGUGAGAGCUGAGAGAUGUCCGUGGACCAGGAGGCAAAACCCUGGAAGAAGGAAGGCUUUUGUCUUAGAGGAUGAUCAGGCCCUUACACUCAUGGAGAAUCCAGGGCUUUGCAGGGGAUGUGCAUGGCAAGGCCUGGAGCGAGGAGUCCCUCUGCAGCAUAUCUCAGUUUGGAAGCCACAUUUCAAGUGUUCAGUGGCCACCGGUGGCCAGCAGCUGCCUUAGCAGACAGAGCGGGAUUGGAUGGACAGCAGGUCAGAGCCUAGGAGCAGGCGAAUUUCAGGCUCCUCCCCAGUUCACUGCUUGAACUCUUUGUAGAAUGGAAAUUGAGCCAUUUCGGGUCUUAGGAGACAAGGAGACCUCACAGACCUCUGGUUCUGGGGUGAUCAUGUGAGUUACUUGUAUGUAAUAGAGUUUUCAUUCUUGGGAGCUGCCAGAUGCCAGGCACUUGCCUAGUUCUCCUAAACUCUCACAAAAGCCCCCAGGACAGUUAUGAUUAAUGUCUGUGAGUAAAUUGAGCUGUGAUUGGA